rnacentral:rRNA from 1 species
UACAGAGGUCUCGAGCGUUGUUCGGAUUCAUUGGGCGUAAAGGGUGCGUAGGUGGCUAGGUAAGUCGGAUGUGAAAUCCCGGGGCUCAACCCCGGAACUGCAUUCGAUACUGCCUGGCUAGAGUACUGGAGAGGAGAUUGGAAUUUACGGUGUAGCAGUGAAAUGCGUAGAUAUCGUAAGGAAGACCAGUGGCGAAGGCGGGUCUCUGGACAGUUCCUGACGCUGAGGCACGAAGGUCAGGGGAGCAAACGGG